rnacentral:rRNA from 1 species
UACGUAGGGUGCAAGCGUUAAUCGGAAUUACUGGGCGUAAAGCGUGCGCAGGCGGUUCGUUGUGUCUGUGGUGAAAGCCCCGGGCUUAACCUGGGAAUGGCCAUGGAAACUGGCGAGCUGGAGUGUGGCAGAGGGGGGUGGAAUUCCGCGUGUAGCAGUGAAAUGCGUAGAGAUGCGGAGGAACACCGAUGGCGAAGGCAGCCCCCUGGGCUAACACUGACGCUCAGGCACGAAAGCGUGGGGAGCAAACAGG